AGUGAACGCUGGCGGUAGGCCUAACACAUGCAAGUCGAACGGCAGCACAGUAAGAGCUUGCUCUUACGGGUGGCGAGUGGCGGACGGGUGAGGAAUACAUCGGAAUCUACUUUUUCGUGGGGGAUAACGUAGGGAAACUUACGCUAAUACCGCAUACGACCUACGGGUGAAAGCAGGGGAUCUUCGGACCUUGCGCGAUUGAAUGAGCCGAUGUCGGAUUAGCUAGUUGGCGGGGUAAAGGCCCACCAAGGCGACGAUCCGUAGCUGGUCUGAGAGGAUGAUCGGCCACACUGGAACUUGGACACGGUCCAGACUCCUACGGGAGGCAGCAGUGGGGAAUAUUGGACAAUGGGCGCAAGCCUGGUCCAGCCAUACCGCGUGGGUGAAGAAGGCCUUCGGGUUGUAAAGCCCUUUUGUUGGGAAAGAAAAGCAGCAGGUUAAUACCCCGCUGUUCUGACGGUACCCAAAGAAUAAGCACCGGCUAACUUCGUG
rnacentral:rRNA from 1 species